GUUGUUGCCUAUACAGGCCAUACCUAUCCUUUUACAUGUAAAAUUUAAGGGGGAGGAGAUCUAGAACUCUCAUUUUACACCUACUUUCGACUAUUGUAGGAAAGGUUUUGUUGAAACUUGGAGAUAUUAUAGCAAGACAAUAACAAUUAAUGGAGAUGUGUACAAAAUUUAAGAGGGGUAAUUGCUUUUGAUGGAUCGGCAAGAGAAUUAAGACAAUCAUAUGGGGCCAUUACAUAUAGCAUAUGGUUUGAGAUCAAAUGAUCAAUGGUAAUGCUAUGACGAUUUAAAGGAUCAAGUAUCAACAAAAUCAAAAAGUUUUAAAGUUAAUGCUGAAAUUCUAUUUUAUACAAAAUUAUACCAAUGUUGUUAAUUUUACAUAUUUUUCAUUUGAAAUAAAACAAAGUACCUAACGUAA